AUAUUUUCCCAGCUUGUCUCUAAAGCAAGUCAUUUUGUCCGGAGGUUCAGCCACCGCUCUUGUCAAGGCACAGCGGGGGCUGUUGCUUGCCUGGGAACUCUGCCAAAGCUGCAACACCACUCAAUUCACCUAGCAGGGGCCACCUGCUUCAGGGGCAUUGUGGACCAGUCCUCUGGACACUAGUCUUUGGAAGAAGGGACUUGACAGCCCCGGCGAGUGGUGAGAUUGAGUGGCAGCAGGUGGGCUGCUUGCCUGAGGCCACUCACCCCAUGCAACUGCAAUUCCCAAGCCUUUUCCCUGGAUGUCAGCCUCUAUCCACAGUGAGGUGUCUCAUGAAAAUGUCUAUAAAACUUCUUGUCAAAUUGGAGUACUUUGGAAUAUUUAGGAAAAAUUGGCAGAUAGGAGACAGGACUAAAGUGCAGCUCCCACUUGGAUGAACUGAACAGCAUGUGGAGACUCACAUUAUGAAUUUUUGCUCCAAGAACUACCUCAGGAACAUACCAGGAAAACCAAAAGAAUUCACAGACCCUUUGAAAAAAAGUGGCUUACCCGUGCAAACUCCAUGAGACAGCUGAAAAACUGUGCUCUCUGUACACAGAGGGUUGUGUUUGUUUGGUCGCCGAUGUAUCUUCAGUGCCCAGAACAGUGCAUGGCAAUGGCAGACUCUCAACUGAUGGUUUAAAGAGUGAGUAAAUAUUGUCAUUUCUGCUCCUUACUUGCUGAGUGGUCUUGGGCAAGUUGUUUGUACUUCUUGAGCCUCCAAGUGUCUUUUUAGAAAAUGAGGAUAAAGGGAUGAUUUCUCACAGAAUUGUGGUUGGAAUUAAAGAGAUAAGCAGCAGAGUGUCUAACACAAAUCCUAGCCCUUAAUAAGCUCUGAAUAAAUAUUUGUUUCUUUCAACCUCCUGUGGCCAAAUUAGCCUCUGAUUUUUAAUCAAAUUCUCAAGCAAAUUUAUGUUAAAAAAAUAGAACAACUAUGUAGUUUGAAUACUUUCAGUAACAUCUCUCUUUCCUGCCCAAUGUGCAGAACAACACUGAUGCUCCUUCCAAAAUUUUUUUUUCCUAGAAUUGCUGGAAAACUCUGUAAAUGGAGCAAGCUUUAAAACUCAGGGUGGGAACAGGGCUGGGUACAGCCACCAGUCAAGUCUUUCAAACAGUGUAACAAAUGAUGUGUGGAUGCAACUAGGGAAAACACACACAUUCAUUCACAAGUCUGGCUGAAUCACAUUUAGCCCCCAGGUGCACUUGACCUGUUAACAACAUUUAGACAGAUUUGUCAGCUGUAAACUUUGCACCAGCAAAAAAUAUAUAGGCAUCAUGGACAACAGUAUGAAGUUUCCUCAGAAGAUUAAAAAUGGAAUUACCACACAAUCCAGUAAUCUCACUUCUGGUUGUAUAUCCAAAGGAAUUAAAAUCAGUUUGCUGAAGAGAUACCCGCACUCACAUGUUAAUUGCAGCAUUAUUCAUAAUAGCUAAACUAUAGAAACAACCCAGAUGUCCAUCAUCAGAUGAACUGGUAAAUAAAAUAGGGUAUAUAUUCACAAUGGAAUACUACUCAGCCUUAAAAAGGUGAGAAAUCCUGUCAUUUUUGACAACAUGGAUGAAGCUGGAGGGCAUUAUGCAAACUGAAAUAAGCCAGGCAGAGAAAGACAAAUACCACAUGAUCUCACAUAUAUGUGGGAUCUAAAGCUGUUGAAUUCAUAAAAGUGGAGAGUAGAAUGAUGGUUACCAGAGGCUAGGAAGGGGGGUGGAUGGGGAAAGGGAGAUGCUGAUCAAAAAGUACAUUUCAGUUAGGCAGUAGGAAUAAACUUUAGUCUAUUGCACAGAAUAGUGACUCUAAUAAUCCUUGUGUAUUUCCAAAUCGCAAAAAUAUUUUAAAUGUUUUCACCCUCCCAAAAUGAUAAGUAUGUGAGGUGAUACAUUUAAUUAGCCUGAUUUAGUCAUUCCACAUAGGAAAUAUAUAUCAAAACAUCACAUUGUAGCUUGUACCUAGAUACAAUGAUUAUUUAUUAAUUUAAAAUGAAACUAAAUAAAUGUUACUAACCCACUUAUUUUUCUUCUUCCCAACAUAAACAAGAAGGAUUUGUUGGCAACAAGGGACAUUCAAACAAAUUAAGUAAAGGAUUUAAUCCUCUCUGCCACUUCCUCAGUGGCCUACCUGGUGUGGCAAACUGCACAUUCACUUCAGGUGUCAAGUUCACAGAAGCCUAAAGAGUUUCUAGGGACAAAUGAGAGCAUGGGGUUUGUGCUUCAGCUAGGGCUGGUGAGCAUAGUUACAAGAGCCUGGACUGAGUAAGGAAAGAAAGAGCAUGUCCUUCAUUAACACCG